UACGGAGGAUCCAAGCGUUAUCCGGAAUCAUUGGGUUUAAAGGGUCCGUAGGCGGUUUAAUAAGUCAGUGGUGAAAGCCCAUCGCUCAACGGUGGAACGGCCAUUGAUACUGUUAAACUUGAAUUAUUAGGAAGUAACUAGAAUAUGUAGUGUAGCGGUGAGAUGCUUAGAGAUUACAUGGAAUACCAAUUGCGAAGGCAGGUUACUACUAAUGGAUUGACGCUGAUGGACGAAAGCGUGGGUAGCGAACAGG
rnacentral:rRNA from 1 species